rnacentral:tRNA from 1 species
GCCGGGGUCGCAUAGUGGCAAUUGCACCUGACUGUAAAUCAGGUGACCGAAAGGUCUUCGGGGGUUCGAGUCCCUCCUCCGGCACCA